rnacentral:rRNA from 1 species
UACGUAGGGGGCAAGCGUUGUCCGGAUUUAUUGGGCGUAAAGAGCGUGUAGGCGGCCAUACAGGUCAGCUGUGAAAACUCGAGGCUCAACCUCGAGACGUCGGUUGAAACCGUUUGGCUAGAGUCCGGAAGAGGAGAGUGGAAUUCCCGGUGUAGCGGUGAAAUGCGCAGAUAUCGGGAAGAACACCCGUGGCGAAGGCGGCUCUCUGGGCCUGUACUGACGCUGAGGAGCGAAAGCGUGGGGAGCGAACAGG